CUACGGGGGGCUCCAGUGGGGAAUAUUGGGCAAUGGGCGAAAGCCUGACCCAGCAACGCCGCGUGAUUGAAGAAGGUCUUCGGAUUGUAAAGAUCUGUCCUUGGGGACGAAAAAAAUGACGGUACCCAAGGAGGAAGCCCCGGCUAACUACGUGCCAGCAGCCGCGGUAAUACGUAGGGGGCGAGCGUUGUCCGGAAUUACUGGGCGUAAAGGGUGCGCAGGCGGCGCUUUAAGUCAGAUGUGAAAUAUUCGGGCUCAACCCGAAGGGUGCAUUUGAAACUGGAGUGCUUGAGUGCAGGGAGGAAAGUGGAAUUCCUAGUGUAGCGGUGAAAUGCGUAGAUAUUAGGAGGAACACCAGUGGCGAAGGCGACUUUCUGGACUGUAACUGACACUGAGGCACGAAAGCGUGGGGAGCAAACAGGAUUAGAUACCCCCGUAGUC
rnacentral:rRNA from 1 species